GAGCCAGCACACACUGCACUGCUAAGGCGGAGGCUGCGCCAGAGGUCCGCGGAGACGAUCUAGAGCCUAAGAAUUACUGAACUCCGGUCUCUGCGGAGGAUGUUUUCUGCGUGACAGUGGCGCUCAGGCUGCCUCCUGAUGUAGGCCGGACUGUGCCCACACGACAGGAUUUAUACAGUCCUAACCCAGGCUGACCCCCACACAGACAGAUCUCAAAUCAGGACCCUGUCUUUCUCUCAUCACAGCCUUUACAUCACGCUCACCCCCCAAAGUCCCGGCCAGUCUAGGAUCUCGCAGAUUUCUCGCGUGACUUUAUAUCAUACCGAACGUGGCGAACAACAUCGAGGCACAGGUUGCUUUGGUGUUUUCAUUUAUUUAUUUUUUUUUUUUUCAGUUGUCUAUGCACUUUGCAACGAAAGGCUGAACAGGACAAGUUUUCUACAACAUUGAUAAGAAUAAAAUAAGCUAUAUCUUUAAUUUAAAUAAGCAAUUUAAUAGAGGUAGCUGUGGAAAUUAGUCUUAUAAUAGCAGUGGAAUGUGGAUCAAAUUUUAUCCUUACAUUCAGCUCAGAUUUCGUUCCACGUUCCCACCGCACUGAAGGAUGUUGAGUUGUAAAUACUGAACAUGUUUAAAGCUACACUAUGUAUGCUUUGGGGAUUUGGAGACCUCUCUGGUAGAAACGUGUAAUUGCAUGCAACAUGCAGAAGAACGUUUUAUGUCAUGUCAGUUGUGCGGGUGAAUCUGAUGAUUGUGAGCGUGUUGGAAGAGGAUUAAAAGAGAACUCAAUCAAAACUUGGAGAAGGUGGCCCCUGAGGAUGUAAGUGAAUUAUUGUCAUCAUAUCCUUAUCAGUAUAAUGUUGAUUUCACAUUUGAGACCUAAACAAAAAGCCAGAGUUAGUACGAAAAGACUCAGUAAUGUUACUUCUUUCCAUUUUAAUAAAACGUCUUACAUAGUGGACCUUUAAUAUUUAUGAUUCUAAAUUGGUGCAGCCAUGACUGAACUGUGAGUAGAUAAUUGUUUAAGACUGGCCUAAAAUUGGGACACCUUUUGUAAUUGUCAUGAGGGGAAAUCGGCCUCAGAUUGUCCUGUAGUAUGGGCCAGGCUGUAGAUUUUCUAUGAUAAUUUUACCAUUAUGCUGAGUUGGAUGCACUGCAUGUAACUAACAGCAUACACUACUUAUUAGCAUAUAUUGCUCAAAUCUCCAUUUUUUUAAAAAAUAUUACUGUGAACACUUUGAACAAACUCACUCCUGUGCAAAGAAAAAUGGGCCAAGCCCAAGCUUUUAAUGGUCUUAACAACAAAUCACUACAAUAAAAGUUGAAGCAACUUUAUGACAAAUGUUUUUCUCUUUGAAAUCCUGUGAGUGAAUUUACAAACAACUUACUCAGAUUUGUCAGUGAUUCUGAGUUAAAUUUUAUUGCUUAUAAACAUGAACAGUAAAAACAAGCUUAAUGAUUAGCCUAGUUACUGCUGUAGUAAGACUUACAAUGUGCUCAGAAGUGGCCAAUUAUAAAUCUUGACUGAAUAACCUGAAUAAUUGAAGAAAUCCUGCUCAGAAUUCUGUGUGGUGCGAUGACUCAGUUACCAGCAUGGCUGUAUGAGGAAUGUGGCACCUCCUUAUCAUGGGCACUACUGGUAGACCUGUUUCCAUUUCUGUCACAAAAAAGUGCUGUAUUCAGAGACACUUCACUUUUCACAUCUCUCAGUCUGCACUGGAUUUCUGAAAGAACUUGAAUCUGCUAAGAGAAUGACGUGAAUGACGUGCCAGGUGAUGUGACUGGUCUCAGGGGGAGUUCUUUGGUGAAGGGCCAGGCGAGGAUUCAAAGCCUGGAGCCAGUGAGUCACAGUCCUCCUCCUAGAGAAACGUGAGCGCGUGUGGGAGACACCCACCCGUCCUCUCUAUCUCCUCCCUACACUCCCCUGAAAAUCAUAAUUCAUGCAAACAGGAUCAAGGACAACAUGUUUCUUCCUCUCUCUAUCUCUAAGGGAGCUUGCUCUCUUUCUCCUCCAUCUAUCACUCUCUCUCUCUUUCUCCCUCUCCCCCUUUCACUCUCUCUCACAUCAUAUUUAACACAGGAACACUAAAGACCCAGAGAUAAACAGUAAACACUAUGACGUCUUGACUGCGUCAGUGGUAUCGUUCAGACCGUUUAACAACCGGGUGCAAACAUGUCUGGUUUUAAAUGUGGACUGUCUUCUGGGAAUGUGUCUUAAUCUGGCCAGUAAUGGGCAGGUCCUGUGCUAACUGUUUUUAAGAGAGAUCUGCAGAGCACCUUGUGGUGGUGAGUUGACAGGGUGUGUGGUGUACUUUUGUUUUAUGGCAGCAUGAGGAGAGGUGUGGCUCAGCAAUAGAGAGGGAGAAGGAGAGAGAGAUACUGACAACUAAUCAAAAGCACUGAGAUAGCAGGGGUUGCAGUGUAGUUGCUGGUGUCCCUCUCUCUGUAUUCACUGAGUUGCCUGUUUAUUAAGUACACCUACUUGGACGUUUUAUCAGAAACACUUACCACAUAGGUACACUUUGUAGGUAUACAGUCACUGACUGUAGCCUGUCCAUUGCUGCACAAUUCAUCAGCCACCCUCAACUGCAACGACACACAGAAAGGGGCCACCGCAGGACCACCACUGACAAGAUAUUAUUUGUUUGCAAGAUCAUUUUCAGUAGACUCCAGCAUUUUAGUGGGUGUUGCACUGGUACAAGUAUAUCAGGCAUGGCUGUGUUGUCAGGGUCAUGAACUGACCACAGGCCACUCUUGGCUGAAUAACCAGCCAUUAAUUAUGCGUACACAUGCCACUAUGGUGGUCCUUUUCCAUUGAUGGACAGGGUAGAUGGAGGCUGAUAAAUUGUGCAGCAAGAGAUUAAACCUGCACAGUGCACCUGCGUUUCUGAUAAAAUGGCCAGUAGUGUUGCUACAAGGUAGAUAAACCUAAUGAACUGUUCAUAUUGAGAGAAUUAUUAUUCAGCACUGUCUUCUGACUGUCCUGCUGGGAGAAAUUUAUAUGCUGCUAAAAACAGUAGAGGUGACCCACCUGCUGGGCCACUGGCUGACUCAGUGGUCAGUCGCAGCCUCCUGGUGUCUCAUUGUCAGUUCUCAGUUGUUUACCACCUCUGUGAGCUGAGUUGACAGUGGCACAGGUUUUGGCGCAUUGUUUGAGUCCAAAGCAUCACAGCCUCGCACCACAUCACAUGAACGUUUAGGGAGAAAACAGACACGCUGUGUUUACUAGGGGCUUUCUGAUAAGUACAUUUCAAGGCCACUUGACACUCUUAAAAAUGGUUUCUUCGAGUGAUUAAAGAACGAUGUUUGGUUCCCUGAACAACCAUGUCUGAAAAAGACAUUUGUGAAUGUGAACAACCUUUUAAUAGUUUAAAGCAUCUUCACAUAAUGUAAAUAUUCUGUGCCAAUUUAUGGGUUCUUCUUAGAGCCUUUACAUUAUGUAGAGGUUCUUUACACUUGAAAAAGAUGCUUCACACUCACACAUCUCAUCUACAGAAAUGGUUCUCCAAAGCACCAUUGACUGAAAUCCAUUUAAAGUGCGAAGAACACUUUUUGGCACCCUUAUUUUCAAGAGUGUAGGAGACAGGAGGAAUGAUAAAACCUUCACAACUGAUCUGAUAGUAUAACUCUUAUCAUAACAAUGCCUUCGCACACCUGCCACUGUCUCUUGGAUUUUUUGUCUCUUUAAUUGUUUACACAAAACAAUUAUAGUACAAUUAUCACUUGUCUAUAAGAACUACUGUGCAGCAUAGACUAAAUUCCUGCUAACUUGCGGAAAAGUCCAAAUGGAGACAAAAACAUGAUUAUGGUGCAUUUGAGAUUACAGUGCUGCUUCGAGAUAAUUAUGGGUUUAUUGUAUUUAAUUAUAGAUUUUGGAGAAUCACAUGAGGCCUCCGAGUCUUACUGUAACAAGCAUAAAAAGCGCUCAGGGAACUGAACUUUUACUAACUCCACCACCCACUCACUCUGCCACGAUCCUCAGGUAGGAUCGAUCUUCACUCCAGUUGAAUAGAGAGAGCACUUCCUUUCACAGCGGAGCUGAAAGCUUUCUCACCGUGACUGAAUUCAUCUCUAAAUAAACCACAAAAGCUUUGAAGGUCGCCACUGGCAUGACUCUUUUCACAACCUGCAAUUACAAGGGUCCUUGCACAUGACACAUUCCAGCAUGGGUUUUUGCCUCCACACACACGCUCUGCAUGGUGCUCGUCUUCUCGUUCGUGUGUAAGGGUCUGAGAUGAGUCAGAGGUGGGAAGUGGUGUGGUGAUUUGCGGGUGCUGUCAGACAGGCCGUAUGAUUCAGAGGCUGAUGGAGAGAGAGCGGCGAUUGCAGCUGUGAUCUUUCUCUUUCAUUCCCUUACUCUCAUUCAGAAAAUACAGGGAAAGGCACUUCAGGCCAGGCGCAUAGCGGACAGCGUAGGGGCUCAGGAUAUGGAGGCUGUUUUCUCUGUGCAUGAUGGAGAAUGUGUGAGGUGCAUAUGAGGAUUUGUCCUCUACCUCACUUUAGAGCAAGUGGGAUAUAAAUAACACACAGCCAAAUGGAAAUGGAAAAUAUUGGAAUAUAUGCUAUCAAUACAAAAUGUAAAUAUACAGUACUGUGCAAAAGUCAGAGACCACACUUCCUUUAGCAUAAAUGCCACAAACUCCUAAAACUGAACUUCGGAGGUCUAGAAAAACUUCCCUGUGGAUUUCUUUGAAAAACUGAAAACAAGUCUCUUAAAAAGAAAAGACAAAAGGUGCACACACAAAAUACUGAAAACAUAAGACAUUGACAUAAGAUUUAGUUAUUGAGACUUCUGUGUAAUUCUCUGCUAAACAUACAUUGGGGUCCAAAAGUCUGAUACCACAACAGAACAUUUUAUUAAAAUAAAAAAAUAAAUAAAUAAAACAAAGUAAAAUAAGUUAUGACAAAUAAAAUGAAGAAGAAAUAUUCAAGAUUCUGUACUAUUUCAGGGUCAUUGUUCUAAAUUAAGCCAAUUUGUAACACUGGCCAUGUUGAGGCCUUAGGAUAAAAAAGUUCAUAAUUCAUUUUAGUCUUAUCUCUCCCAGCAAAGGACGUGCUCAGACGACUCUCAGGAGGAUUUGAUCUACUCAUCAGAUGUUUUUGUACAAACUUCUGGCAUCUGUGCCACAGAAACUUUUGGCAUCUUUCCAUUAAAUUAGAAAGGAAAGCAAAAGAGAAGCAUUUUCACUAGUGAGACUUUUGGACCCCAAUGUGUUCUGCUUUUUUCUUAACACUGAAAAAUAAAUAACUUCUACUCAAUGGCUGUUUUGACUAUAAAUUCAAUACAUGAAGGGUGGUCUCUGACUUUUUCACAGAACUGUAUAUGUAAUAUCAUGAAAAGAACAACUUUGACUAAAAUUGAAUAAAGUUGACUUUGUGAAACACUCCAGUAGGUGGAGGGGAGCACUUACUCAAAUAUAAAGUUAAGUGUUUGUGUGUUGUGUUGUGUUUGUUUGUGUUUGUGCAUACAUAUAAAGUUGAACAUUUGAAUGGAUGGACCCUUCUAAGCAAGAUUACAAGUAAUCAACAUGAGCACAAACAUAAAGACACACACACACAGAGAGGGAGAGAGAGAGAGAGAGGUUUUCUCUGCUGUGUGUGGUUAUGAUAGCUCCUUGCUGUGGUCUCAUUUGCAUAAUAGAAAAAAGUGAGCUAAAGAUGCAUCAGGUUUUUUAACAGCUUCUUGCCUCAUGGGUUGGUCAGCAGCAGCCUGAUACUCCAUCUGGCAGGAUUAUUCCAGAAAGAGCCAUCAUCGCUCUGGGAGGAAAUCCAUGUGCUGGGGAGGCAGGGGGAGAUGUGCAGUUAUUGAUUAUGUAACUGGGCCUAAGUCAGCUGUACAUAACAGGCUUUUAAAACGUUCUGCUCUGGCCCAACUCCACUCCCCACUCAAAUCACACAGUCCACAUUAUAAACACUUACUGAAUUAGUAAAGCAACCUGCAUAAUUAAAAUGGCUGACCACAGCAGAGCCAGAUGCUGAGGUGGUGUUUGUUAUGAAGCUAGUGAAUGGGCAAUCAUGCGGCCUUUCACUGAGAACAUGUGUGUAUGUGUGUUCUCUCCAGAUGGUCUGAUUGCUUCUCUUUAGAGCACGCCGGCCAGAUGUACCUCUGCCAUUAUGCGGGUUUUGAUGUCCUCGCUGCUCUUUUAAGGACUGGUCAGCACUGAUGUGGCCGCACAUGGAGCCCAUUUGUUGGAUGCCUGUCAUACCCACCUUUUAGCUCUUACACAAAGUAUGCUGAAAAAAAAAACACUGGAUGCGACAGGGAGCUAGUGCCUAGUUUGUGUUUGUUAUAUAUAUAUAUAUAUAUAUAUAUAUAUAUA